GGAAAGUGAUGGGUGCCUGGUGGCCCCCGCGGUCUUCAAAACCGUCGUGGCUGGCGCAAGCCGGCCAGGUAGGUUCGAUUCCUGCCCUUUCC
rnacentral:tRNA from 1 species